rnacentral:lncRNA from 1 species
CUUAAUAACAUAACAUAGGAGUCUUUAAACUUAUAUUCUUCAAACAAUUAUAAGCUGUCUUCAACUUUACUGUUAAACUACAAUUAUAAAGAAUUAAGAAUCACACACCAACAACAUUUAUAAGUCAUCACUCACAUGCAACAAGGUGCCUCAAUGUGAAUAAACCAAGAUCAAUAAGAAAUGAGGUUCCACUUAACCAAGCUGAGAAUUUUCUGGUUUUCCAGCUCCAUGCACAAACCUAAUACAAUGAUAUGAUAUUCAAUAUCAAGAGGUACCUUGUCGUAAAACUGAGAAUAUGAGGUUGCAUAGGAUGGAGAAAAGUAAGAAGAGGAUUUACCAAUUACCCUUUCAAAUGCAGCUCCUCAAGAUUUCAUAGUCCCUUCCUUCACUGCAAAUGCAACCCAAAUAUGUUAAAGAAGUUAAUGAAACCGGAAUAUGAAGAGUUUCGAAAUAAAAAUUCAACAUGUUGAAACUUGUAAUUUAGAAGUAUUGACGAUAAGGCAGUUUAGAUCCUGACCAAUGAAAGACUAAUUAGCAGGAGAGAGACUAGUUGACUGGCCUUCCUCUUCCUAUCUUCCCUUGUGUCUCUUGAAGACUGUGCAACAUUGCUUCCACUGGAUUCUUCAAUCUCACCAGCACCACCAUAUUCAUCAUCUUUCUUUUUGGAAUAAAGAGGGCAUAUGCCGCAUUCUUUUAUUGUGAUGCCAACGUCAUAAUCACGCGGACUGAUCUCAAAAGUGAAGCUGCGAGCAUCACAGAGCCUAAGGCUCAUGCCCUUCGCCCUUAGGGACUUCAUGUUAAAUUUCCAAACGAAUGUGUGAUCUUGAUCAAGACCUCUGUCUUCAUAACCCCAUUCGAAAUAGCUGGUGAACACAUCAUUAUUUGGAAUGAUCUGUGUGCCAUCAUCAUCAGAUUCAAAUUUUAGACUGUAACCAAAAGAACCAUAUCCACCUUCAAUAUCAUUCGUAUCUAACACUCCAACUACCACACACAAAGCGAAACCAGUGAGCCUAUCAUCGCUGCAGACACUUAAAUCUUCAUUUAUAGUCACUGAAUCUCCCUUCCCACGAAAAUGGAACCAACCAGGAACUGCACU